GCACGUUCUUUACUCUGUGUUACACUUCUUCUGUCAUUUAAUCUCUCUUACCAUCAUUCUUUAAAUAUAAGAAUCUCUUUGCCUUUGAAUUUCUUUCUCCUUUUGUUUGAUAUUAUAGCAUCUAUAAAACGCUGUAGAGCUGAUAAUUUCUGAGUGCACCUCAGCACUCCAUUUCUUCACAGUUUAUAAUUAACCAAUCACUCAUUCAUUAGUGCCUGAACCUCUAAUGCUGUCAGAAUGAAAGUGUCAAUCCGUCACACAAUAGGUCCAUGUUAAACCCAUGUCAUCUCCAUUCAUCCCUUUGUGAAUUCCCUGCACACUGCACUAUUAUUACUUUGAGUUUCAUUCUGACUGGACUCAAAGGCUGCUCACACCAAAGCCUCUUUAUGCUUUUGCUAGAUGGAAGCUGUCCUGCCAUCAGGGCAUUGCUAAAAUCUCUUCAGAACAGAGCACAUGAGACGCACUGAAUGGCAAUAAUGGCACAGUAGGUAAGGAAAUACCAGGAUAAAAAACUGCUUUCUCAAAAUUUGCAAAACCUAUUUGUUAGGAAAGAAGGUAUUGUGUGAGGCAUUUAUUUUCUGCAAGGACUGUUUUUCUGGGACAUUCAAGUCUCAAAUACCGAUGGCCCCAAUUUACCCCAUGCUCAAAUUUGCUGUAAAGCAUUAAAAACCGAACAAGUUUUCCUGUAUAAUGCCCUUGUGGGAGCUGAAUGUCUCAUAAUGACGUUUAAUACAGAUACUCAUGUCUAUGGCAAUUUUUCAGUAAUUUACUAGGUAGAUAGGUAGUUUUUUAUUUUUAUUUUGAACGGUGCAGUUACAUACCCUAUAAUCAUUCUAUCUGCAUGAUUUUGCCUCCUUUCAACACUUUUCAUCUUUGGCUUCACAGUGCAUCUUCUGGUGUUCCUAAAAAUAUAAAUAUAAGUUGUUGUUUUUUUUUAACGAAAUCAGACUUUUACCAUCUUUAAAUGUGUGGAUUCUUUCAAAAUAUUUGUCUGACGCAUGAGUCACACACUGAACCUCACACUUUCAAAACGUAAAUGAAAAUCAGGGAACUCUAUUAAAAGCACAAAAGAUUAUUUCAUCUGUUAUGAUCAUUGAUUUUAACAGGAUGAAAGUAUAAAAAAAACUUUCCAUAUCCUCAAAUAUCUGCAUCCAGCCUUAUUCGUGUAUCCACACACGUUGGGAGGGUGCCAUCUUGUUUUUUUCAAACGUGUGUGAGUCAGGCUCUAGACACGCUUUUUGUCUGCCUCAUUGCGCCAAGAUGCGCAGUAGUGGUCAGUUUCACUCUUGUUACAGAUGCUUAUUGACCCUUUAUAUCUGCCUGUGCAAAGACUGCAUGGCUCUGGUAACCUUCCUCAUUAAAUACGCUUGCAGGGUUCUUAAACCCUCAAUUGAAGCUGCUUAUUUCCUUGCAUAUUCAUGUCUCCUGCUCAAAGCAUUUAGCUUUUGCUAAAGACAACAAGCAAAUCCAAAGUUGUAAUGAUUAUGAUAUAAUCUUAGUUAUGUACUUAGUGUCCCAGUAACAGUUGCUCUUAUCAAUUAAAAGUAAUACAGUAGAGGUCUGCAGGAUGGAUUUUUCUGCUUCCGCCAAAAAUAUGUUAGAUUUCUAACCUGCUCCUGCUCGCAAAAGCCCGUAGGAAGAAGUCUACGCAAAUUUUUCAGUCCUGGUCCGGUUAGAUUCUGUCUCGUUCUGAUCUAUAGGGUCUUUUGUUCCAAUAUAUAUAUAUAAUAGAGAGAGCCCACAAGUCAUUUCUUUCUCCUGCUUUCCGCACACAUAUCAGUAUCUUCCCUCCCACAUCUGCACUCAGUAAUUCAAAACUUGAGGAUUGCAGACCUCUAUAAUACAGUAAUUUGGUGCAGCACAAUAGUGCUUAAUGGUUAACAUAUUUCUUUCUCAUCAGAAACCACACUGUAUAAUUAAGAUUUGGUUACUGAUUGCGUUUUUAUACCCAAUAGACUUUAGUUAGGGUAGUGCCACAUUUAACUGUUGACAGGAAUGAAAACUAGGCUGUGAGGGAGAGAAGUACAGUGCGUACAGUGGAUUGUACUGUUGUUUAGCAAAAUACCGUUUGUUCUUUUUGAAAACAAAAAUCUCAGUAGUCAAACUCUGAAAAACAGUUUUAGAAGUUGAGUAGUGACUCUUACUUGAUCUAGGACCUAUACAGUUUGUGCCAUUAUAAAGACUAACUCUCACAGCCUCGUUUUCAUCCGCCUUAAAUUCAAAAUGGCGUCUAACCUGACUAAGGUCUAGUUUAGUUGUGAUCAUUUGUGUGCACAAGACAAUGUUUCAGUUGUGCUUUAGACUUGCUUCAAUCCCCCUGCUUCCUUCAUGGUUUGAUUUUUAGACAGAAAAGUACACUCACAUUCUUUGUUUUUAUUUCUGUCACAUUUUUCAUCAACUUCUCUAUCCCUUUUUCUGUUCCUUUUCAUUUUCCUUUGGAUAAGCAGUUUUCCAUGUGAAUAACUCCUGUAGUGUGCCUGAAUGAAAUGUCUUUAAAGAGAUUAUUGAAUAUUGGGCCACUGAGACUGAGCUGCAUCAGCUUGUAUUUCCUGGUGUCUCUUAUCCAGUAAAACACUGAUUAUUGUCAUUCCACUUCUUAUUUAAAGCAUCGAUCCUCUCCCCUCUGUAACUGAGCUUUGAUGCAGCAAAAGCUAAUCUACUUUCUGCACUGACCUUUUUGUUUAGUGAGGUGAGAAUCCUUUGUGCUCUAACUUAUUUCACCUCUCCCUUAAACAUUAGGUUGCACUGCACUGUGAGCUUUUUUGACCUAUAAAAUGUUCAUAAAUCAACCUUCAAUCUCAAAUGGUUACAUGUAAAUUUGAAUGCUCUCUAUUGACUAUGAGAUCCACCCUGGAGAUGCUUGUUAUUCAGAUUCUCUCAGACAACAAGUUCUGCUAUGCCAUGAUUGACCUUUGAACUUUCACCUUUGUUUUACUCCUGAACUAGCUGAACAUGCUGUUUGCUGUGUUGACUCCGCAUUUGAUCUUGGCAGGUUGACUCAAGAAUGAGUAGAAAAAGCAGGAGAAUGGAUAGAGUGAAAGAGACAGAGCUCACAACAAAAACAAGUGUGUGCUGUCCGCUCUGUCCGAUCAUACACAGUCAAGACAUGUCUGUGCUUUAACUCACGCGCCUGGUCCAUGUCCUAAGUUGAAAAACAGACUGACACAAGUGUCAGGAACAAAAACAAGUUGGCCAUCCUCACAUACUAAGAGAGGGAGAGAAUGAAAGAAAAAAAAAAAGUCAAAAGAAAGCGUGACCCUGACCUAUGUGUGCAGUCGGUCAGCCUUUUGCCCUAAUUUCUCUCCCUCCAUCUUGGUUUGUUGUUCAGCAGAAAAGAGGGAUCGAAAUAAGUGUGGAAGCUCUUCGCAUGGAGCAACACCCCAUAAAAUGAUGCACAACUUUUUUUAUUUUUAUUUUUAGAAAAAUAGUUAUUUAUUGUUUGUUUAUUUUGAAGAAAUUUACAAUAUCUUUAUAAUAUAUUUACAAAAUCUAAAUAUUUGUGAAUACAUGUUAUUUUUUUUUAAAUGCUCUGGGAUGCACAAAUGCACAAAAAACAUAAUGCCUACAGUGGAAGCAUUACAUAUAUUGACAGAAAAACCUUAUUAUAGGUACCUUCUGUGUACUGAAGCUGGAAGCAGAGAAAAACCAUUGUCCUGUAUUAGUGUAUGUGACGAGCUCUGAUAAUGUUUGUUUAAUGGAACUAAAAGUGCUCUGUAAAUGUGUGCUGUGUUUAAAAGAACGUUAAAGAAGUUGUGUGUUUCGAGUCUGCUUUCCAACCUGCAUUACAAUUUACUUUUGAGAACAUAUUCAAGAGAGGGGAACCACUAUGAUCUUUUAAACUUAACACACAAUAAGUAAAGUUGUUCUUGUACGGUAAUAACCACAAAAUUUUCAUCUAAAUUUACAUCCUUGCUUUAAAGGGGUCAUGACGUGGAUUUUUAUUUGUAUUUUAAUAUGUUCAUUGAGGUUCACUUAAAAUGUUAGUAAAGUUUUUUGCAAAAAAAAAAAAAAAAAUAUAUAUAUAAAUAUAUAUAUAUAUAUAUAUAUAUAUAUAUAUAUAUAUAAUAUGUUCUGAUUGGCUAACGUCAUUGCAUAGGAAACAAUAUCAGCGCCCUGUCUGUGUUGCACGUAAGUGUUUUGAAAACAUAAUUCAUGUAAAACCGUCAUUUACAGACAAAGCAUUAUGAAAUCAUUUACUUACAGUUUGUGAAGCAGCUGCUGUCAGUUCUAAUACAGUUGGCUGCUUCAUUUUCAACAAAAGUUUCUUUGCAAACUCUCUAUUACAAUGUGCCUCAUUUACAAAAAAAAUGCUCCGAACAAACAUAUAAUCCUCUGACGCGAUCCGGGACAGCAUUAAAAUAAACAAUCCACUUGUUUCUGACGCUGGGAUUCUUCUGAAGUCCGUACAAAGACACAAAUGAGCUGUUUAUUCUGGACGUGUCAAAACGAACGUUCUUUCACUCUUCCAUUUGUCCUGUUGUUGACACUCAAGCGCAUAAAGUGAACACGCAUCUGUAUACUGUGUCCAAUGUAGACCGCGUCAGUGAUUAUAAUGGGUUCUAUUUGCUUUUAAUACGACUCUCACAUCCAGUGUAGGCAAAUCUCAGCUGUCAGGUGACUGAAUGCCAGUGGGUGGGGCCUAUGGUGCGAUGAUGUAUAACUAUUCGUCGAUGUCUUGCUCCAAAUGCAGUCAUAUGCAAAUGUAGGCUAUUUGCCCAUGUGAUGUCAGAUCACGCAAUAUCAAAACAAGUCAUUUUUUGAGCUUGAAAUAAAUGCUUUGUUUAUAAUGAGGAGGAUGUUUUAAGCUAUGAAACUUGAAGAAUGUUUAAAUGCUACAAAGACAUUUUAUAUGUCAAAAGAUCAAAUUUGAUUUCUCAUGUCAUGACCCCUUUAACAUACAGUACUAGUAGCGUCAGUAAUAAAU